AUGCUUGUUUCAACAGCACAUAAAGUUGGAAUGAAACAGAUAAAAUUAGCAUGGCCCUGGUACAAGAAUGACUUGCACAUUUUUGAAGUGUUCUAUACAUCU
rnacentral:snRNA from 1 species